rnacentral:lncRNA from 1 species
GCCAUGGGAGGAUAUUAAAAAUUUAAGUCUUUAUAUAUAUUUAUUGUGAUGAAUUUUAAAAGAUGAAUACGAUUUUUGAAUAUUAGGUUCUGGAAAGGAUUUGCAAAACUAAUUGGAUUUGUCGUGGAUCGCGUUCGCAAGGUAAGUGAUGUAACCUCUUUACUAGAUUUAUCGGCAAACUAAAUAUCUGUUUUACGAAUCGAAUUAUUUGUGAUUACGAAUUUGAUGCAUGAAUUAUAUGUAUAUUUUUAGAAUAUUGUAUGACUCUGAUUGAACAUAUUUGCUUCUGGUUUGAAUUGUAUUUAAUUGCUCUGACAUUGUAUUUUUCGGCUUGAAACACUGAACAUAAUGUAAGAAAAGAUAAUGACUUGAAAUAGAUUCAGACUUGCAGUCGAGAUAUGUUGAGGACCCUGCCAAUGGGGGCUAAUACGUUGGUACCGCAAGAAGAUUAGUCGGUGAUAUGACCCUGCCACAGGGAACAUGUGGUCAUAGUCCCUGGCUGUUGAGUUGAAUCUGAUAAAUUGAAAGAGGUUAAGAUAUGAACGAUAUUUGGUUUUGACACUGUAUGUUUU